UGUAAGGUAUUAUAAUUAGUAUAAUUAGUUUACAGCUAAUAGGUGUGUAAUUGUCUUUACUU
rnacentral:tRNA from 2 species